rnacentral:rRNA from 1 species
AUUGAACGCUGGCGGCAUGCCUAACACAUGCAAGUCGAACGGUAACAGGCCCUCCGGGGUGCUGACGAGUGGCGGAUGGGUGAGUAAUACUUAGGAAUCUACCCUGUAGUGGGGGACAACCCGGGGAAACUCGGGCUAAUACCGCAUACGCUCUACGGAGGAAAGCGGGGGACCGCAAGGCCUCGCGCUAUUGGAUGAGCCUAAGCCCGAUUAGCUAGUUGGUGGGGUAAUAGCCUACCAAGGCAAUGAUCGGUAGCUGGUCUGAGAGGACGACCAGCCACACUGGGACUGAGACACGGCCCAGACUCCUACGGGAGGCAGCAGUGGGGAAUAUUGGACAAUGGGCGAAAGCCUGAUCCAGCGAUGCCGCGUGUGUGAAGAAGGCCUGCGGGUUGUAAAGCACUUUCAGUAGGGAAGAAAUAG